rnacentral:rRNA from 1 species
GACGUAGGGCGCGAGCGUUGUCCGGAUUUAUUGGGCGUAAAGAGCUCGUAGGCGGCUUGUCGCGUCGAAUGUGAAAUCUCAGGGCUCAACUCUGACAUUGCAUUCGAUACGGGCAGGCUAGAGUUCGGUAGGGGAGACUGGAAUUCCUGGUGUAGCGGUGAAAUGCGCAGAUAUCAGGAGGAACACCGGUGGCGAAGGCGGCAUCCUGGACCGGCAUUGACGCUGAGGAGCGAAAGCCAGGGGAGCAAACGGG